rnacentral:rRNA from 1 species
GAUGAACGCUGGCGGCGUGCCUAAUACAUGCCAGUCGAGCGAACGGACGAGAAGCUUGCUUUUCUGAUGUUAGCGGCGGACGGGUGAGUAACACGUGGAUAACCUACCUAUAAGACUGGGAUAACUUCGGGAAGCCGGAGCUAAUACCGGAUAAUAUUUUGAACCGCAUGGUUCAAAAGUGAAAGACGGUCUUGCUGUCACUUAUAGAUGGAUCCGCGCUGCAUUAGCUAGUUGGUAAGGUAACGGCUUACCAAGGCAACGAUGCAUAGCCGACCUGAGAGGGUGAUCGGCCACACUGGAACUGAGACACGGUCCAGACUCCUACGGGAGGCAGCAGUAGGGAAUCUUCCGCAAUGGGCGAAAGCCUGACGGAGCAACGCCGCGUGAGUGAUGAAGGUCUUCGGAUCGUAAAACUCUGUUAUUAGGGAAGAACAUAUGUGUAAGUAACUGUGCACAUCUUGACGGUACCUAAUCAGAAAGCCACGGCUAACUACGUG